CCUACGGGGGGCUGCAGUGGGGAAUAUUGGGCAAUGGGCGCAAGCCUGACCCAGCAACGCCGCGUGAAGGAAGAAGGCUUUCGGGUUGUAAACUUCCUUUGACAGGGAAGAGUAGAAGACGGUACCUGUCGAAUAAGCCACGGCUAACUACGUGCCAGCAGCCGCGGUAAUACGUAGGUGGCAAGCGUUGUCCGGAUUUACUGGGUGUAAAGGGCGUGUAGCCGGGUUGACAAGUCAGAUGUGAAAUCCUGCGGCUUAACCGCAGAACUGCAGUUGAAACUGUUGAUCUUGAGUACUGGAGAGGCAGACGGAAUGCCUGGUGUAGCGGUGAAAUGCGUAGAUAUUAGGAGGAACACCAGUGGCGAAGGCAGUCUGCUGGACAGCAACUGACGGUGAGGCGCGAAAGCGUGGGGAGCGAACAGGAUUAGAUACCCUUGUAGUC
rnacentral:rRNA from 1 species